GGAUGGGACCGGCGCGGCAGAGCCCUGCGAACCCCGUCAGGUCCGAGAGGAAGCAGCGGUAAGGAGGUAUCUCUGGGCGCCGCCGGCAAACCUGUCCGGG
rnacentral:SRP_RNA from 2 species